rnacentral:rRNA from 1 species
AAAAACAUUUCUUAUAAUAUUAUUAUAAGUAUAAUCUGCUCAAUGAAUUUUAAAUAGCCGCAGAUUUUCUGUGUUAAGGUAGCAUAAUCACUUACCUUUUAAUUAAAGGUUUGUAUGAAAGAUUAAACAAUUAAAUUUCUUUUUUAUUAAUUUUUAUUAAACCUAAAUUAAAAAUAAAAAUGUUUUUAUUUAAAAAAUAGACGAUAAGACCCUAUUGAACUUCACUUCAGUUUAGCUGGGGAAGCUAAUUAAUUAUAAUUUUAAUAAUUUAUAUAAAAUAAAUUUCUAAUAUAAUUAAAUUAAAUAAGUUACCAUAGGGAUAACAGCGUAAUAUAAUUUUAAAGCUCAUAUUAAAAAUUAAGCUUACGACCUCGAUG